GACGAACGCUGGCGGCGUGCCUAAUACAUGCAAGUAGAACGCUGAAGAGAGGAGCUUGCUCUUCUUGGAUGAGUUGCGAACGGGUGAGUAACGCGUAGGUAACCUGCCUUGUAGCGGGGGAUAACUAUUGGAAACGAUAGCUAAUACCGCAUAACAAUGGAUGACACAUGUCAUUUAUUUGAAAGGGGCAAUUGCUCCACUACAAGAUGGACCUGCGUUGUAUUAGCUAGUAGGUGAGGUAAUGGCUCACCUAGGCGACGAUACAUAGCCGACCUGAGAGGGUGAUCGGCCACACUGGGACUGAGACACGGCCCAGACUCCUACGGGAGGCAGCAGUAGGGAAUCUUCGGCAAUGGGGGCAACCCUGACCGAGCAACGCCGCGUGAGUGAAGAAGGUUUUCGGAUCGUAAAGCUCGGUUGUAAGUCAAGAACGGGUGUGAGAGUGGAAAGUUCACAAUGUGACGGUAGCUUACCAGAAAGGGACGGCUAACUACGUG
rnacentral:rRNA from 1 species